CCUACGGGUGGCAGCAGUGAGGAUUAUUGGUCAAUGGCCGGAAGGCUGAACCAGCCAAGCCGCGUGAAGGACGAAGGUGCCAAGCAUUGUAAACUUCUUCUGUCAAGGGACAAAAUCAGGCUCUAGAGCCUGACCGAGGGUACUUGAAGAAAAAGCAUCGGCUAACCACGUGCCAGCAGCCGCGGUAAUACGGGGGAGGCGAGGGUUAUCGGGAUUUAUGGGGGUUAACGGGUGGGUAGGGGGACGGUUAAGUCAGCGGUAAAAGCCCGGGGCUCAACCCCGGCGAGCCGUUGAAACUGGCUGUCUUGAGAUGUCGAGAGGUAUGCGGAAUGCGCGGUGUAGCGGUGAAAUGCUUAGAUAUUGGGCAGAACUCCGGUUGCGAAGGCAGCAUACCGGCGGCGAUCUGACGCUGAGGCACGAAAGCGUGGGUAUCGAACAGGAUUAGAUACCCCAGUAGUC
rnacentral:rRNA from 1 species